rnacentral:tRNA from 1 species
GACUCUGUAGUGAAAUUCAUGUUGAGUUGCAAGCUCAUUGAUAUACGUUAAAAGCGUGUCAGGGUCU